UAUUUGCUUUGCUUUGUUUUUUAUAUUUGCAGGUUGGCAAUUCCGAAGUUAUUGCCUUUCUACUUCAAACUGAAAUAAUUCCUCUUUGUCUUUAAUAUGGAGAUGGGCACUGAACUUUAAAAAACAGUAUGAACUCAACCCCUUCUGUAAAUCAAAUAUUUCAUUUGCGGGGACGACGUGGGGCUCAUGUCGAGCACUUCACCUGCAAUGGGUGUGGCCUUCUCCGUCUGCCAAACAUGCUACAAGUACGAGCACCAUGAGGGAACUGCCUGGAGUGCAAGACCCGCCACAAGAUCCUCAGGGGUCAGUCAGCCUCCACCCACGGCCGAAGGCACUUGCAGAUGUGAAGAAUAUCCAUGUCCGAUUACAUCGCCAGAAAGCAAAAACCGAGCCCACACUAAUCAUCAAGGGAUUUUUGAAACGAGCAGAAGAUUAGUAACUUCUACGACAUCAAAGAUCUGACCUUUUAGAGUAUGCACCAUAUUGAUUUACUUAUUGAUUUAUUCACACUAUAUCAGAUUUGUCUUGAACGUGAUACUUUAUUGACUGUACUGGACACGGGAAGUUAACUGUUUUAAUUAUAUAGGAUUAGUCUGCACCAGUUGCUGCAUAAGUUCUCAUUGAUAGCAAUUUACAUACUUGGGCUACUAGGCCUUUGGUCAGUUUGCAACUGGUAUUUUAGACAUGUACGAGUAUUCUCAUGGUAUUUCUAUAUGUUUUAAUUUGUACCAGAUGGAAUUUGCGAAUUAGUCUUACAAAGAGAAGAGAAAAGGAAACAUUAUUCACGAGUUUGCAGGAAUACGGAAACUCAAGGUAGUCUGUUAGCAUAAGUAAAAAAUGUUUUUCAUUUUAUUUCUUGGUUCGACCAAAUUAUAUUUUAUCCGAACGUAUGGAUGAUAGACACAAUGGACGUACGUAGUUUCUGGUUAGCACUACUCGGAUAACAUUUGGUCUUAUGCAUUUUAGUUAAAUAUAUCCUUUGUGAUGAAUAAUGAUUUUUGAGCAUACUAUCUUCUUUUCAUGUGGGGAGAUCCCUGAUAGAAAAGAAAAUUGUGUUUCUGAUAUGUUAUGCCUAUUUCUAAGUGCUUCCAAUUUCCAACUACUAGGUAUGCAGCCUUAGAUGAACAACUACCUCUUUAUUUGCUUGAGGAUGAUUUGAUUGUGCAAUUAAGACUACAUAAUUCCACUUUUCAUUUAUAUUUAUUGGUGAGGGCGAGCUGGCGGCGGCAUGGCACACUGGUCCGCAUGACCGCGGGUUCGGCCAGGGUGCGAGCCGAUCUGGCAUGUGCGCUGGCGAAGUAAGGCGUAGAGGUGCUCCGGCCGGCUGGGUGCCUUGGUCUGUGCCGGAGGUGCGAGGUGGGCGUGGAUCUGGCACCUAGCAUGCAUGAGGGAGGACAUAUGGGCGUUGUGCGUUUCUUCGCGGCGGGAGGUGUGACUGUGCUGCUCUGCAGAUUGAUGACGUUGUUCUCCUGGUUUCGUGGAUCUGCAGCGGGGUAGCCGGUGGUUGCGGCGCCAGAGAAUGCUGGGGCAGCGGCCUCGGGCUGAUGGCUGCUAUGGCAGGGGCUGCUGCACCGGCUCGGGAUGGUGAUUUGGAGCGAUGCACUCAGAUCUGACCCUGGCAACCGUGUUGUUUCUAUGUCGCAUGAGUUGUUGCAGCUGGUCGUCGCAUGAGGGCUAUGCCGGCUGACGGCAGGGGGGGUGCCCUAGACAAUGUGCUUGGCUCUGAUGGCCUGGGUAUCGUUGCGUGACCAGAUUUGCAAGCAAGCUCACCGAUAGGAGAUCAGGGACUCGGGCGAAAGCUCCGUGACCUUUUUGAGGCAUAGUCGUAGACAUCUUCCUAUCCUUUCACGUGCUUGGAUUCUCCGGGUGAGAACCUAAACUCCAGUUUUCUGGAGUGGGUGGCGGCGGUGUUUAUGUCGUAACCAUCUUCGGAGGCGUUGCCUUGGAGGGCCAGCCUUUGGAUGUCGUGUGGGGCUCUUUCGUUUUCAAGGGCGGUGUAUGUCGGUGCUGCGGCUCCGGGAUCUUCUAUUAAGUGUCGAGGCUGCGGCCUCGGGCAGUACUGCGACGACAGCUCCAAGAGGUAGGGCUGCUUGUCGGCAUGGCUUAGGUGAGGACCUUGAAGUGCGGGAGCAGCAAGGUUGUCAGCUCCGUCAAUGCGCCCCAGUUGGGACUGUUGGACGACAUGUUGGGGCAGCGGCCCAGGAUGUGGUGCAGCGUUCGUGGUCUAUGUGCGGUUGGCCUGAGCAGCGUGAGCUGCGGGUAGCUGUAUCGUUCGGCGUAGUGCCAGCCAGGUUGUCGCUCAUCCAGGUUGCCGACCGGGAAGAGGUGUAGUGCCGGCCAAGACGAGAACAAGGGGAAGCUGCUUGGUUGUCUGUGUUCAUCAAAGGUGCUCUCUCUUUUCCAUCUUUCUUUUUAUUUACUUAAUCCUAGAUGGGUGACUACUAAUUUCCAUGUCUACUGGGAGGAAGAAGGUUGGCGGACGUAUCUUUGUGACUAUGUCAUUCACGUGCUUUGUUUCAACUCAUAAAGUGGAUCCUUUUUAAGCUCUUUCAAAUCAUAAGACAUAAUUUUCAGUUGAUUUUUUUCUUCUAAUUCCCAGUUUAUUGCUUCACAUAGACUAUUACAUAUUUAUGCUAGCAAUUCGAAGCUUUGUCCCAAGGGCAAGCAUACUGUUGAAAAAAUAAAUACAUGUAUGACAGAUCAGCCAACAACUUGUUGAUCUGUGAUUCUUUGAACUUGAUGCUUAUAACUGUCUAUAAGUCAGUAUUGUUCAGAGCCAAAGAUAAGUAACAAUCUAUUUGGUUAAGUUGAACACUUCCAGAUCAGGAGUAGUAGAAAUUCUUAAGGGCGUUGGGAUAUUGAACUGCAGAUAGCUUCGGCAGGUUUGUUAGGCUAAUAUAAAGUAGGGACCUUUGCUACAUAAUGAUACAAAUAUGAUACUGAAGGUUGUUUUGCAACUAGCAAGGUAUUUUGUUUACAAGCUG